rnacentral:rRNA from 1 species
CUACGUGCCAGCAGCCGCGGUAAUACGGAAGGUCCAGGCGUUAUCCGGAUUUAUUGGGUUUAAAGGGAGCGUAGGCUGGAGAUUAAGUGUGUUGUGAAAUGUAGACGCUCAACGUCUGAAUUGCAGCGCAUACUGGUUUCCUUGAGUACGCACAACGUUGGCGGAAUUCGUCGUGUAGCGGUGAAAUGCUUAGAUAUGACGAAGAACUCCGAUUGCGAAGGCAGCUGACGGGAGCGCAACUGACGCUGAAGCACGAAAGCGUGGGUAUCAAACAGGAUUAGAUACCCUGGUAGUCCACGCAGUAAACGAUGAAUACUUGGUGUCGGGGAGGUAAACUCUUCGGUGCCGCAAGCUAACGCAUUAAGUAUUCCACCUGGGGAGUACGUUCGCAAGAAUGAAACUCGAAGGAAUUGACGGGGACCCGCACAAGCGGUGGAGCAUGUGGUUUAAUUCGAAGCAACGCGAAGAACCUUACCAAAUCUUGACAUAC